AGUUUCUACAAGGGGAAAAUCAGGAGAAGGUGUGAGGUGAGCGGAAGGAAUGUGUGAGAAUGAGAUAACCUCUACCCAUCUAUUGUACCGCACUCAGUUAAAUACAACAAAUGUGUUGAAGUCAAUAUAAUGUAAACAGUCUAAUCCAGUGAUUCUUUGGUUUAUCACUAGAGGGUGCACAUGUGCAAUUAAUGGUAUAUUAAAAUAUGCUACAAUUGCAUUUUUCAGAUUGGGAUUUGUUGUCAAUGCGUACUAUAGAACUUUCCAAGCCAUUUCCUGAAUCUGAAAUAACACCGUGUGUUUGUUUUGUUCUCUUCUGUUUGUACCUGCUCCAUUUUCCACCCAAAACCACAUCAGAACCGCAUUUCCCGGACUGCAGUCAUCUGUUGACCUCCGGAGGAGUCCCAGCGUGGUGUGCCGACUGCACUCUGGUCCCAGAGGGAUGAGCGACUUCAACCUUUCCAAGCACAGACGGAGAUGCGCUCGUCUGCGGCGGGAGGAAACGCACAAGCGGGAAGUUAAUUUCCCCUUCACGGAUGCAGCUAAAUAAGAUUUCCGCCUUGUGUUGCCAAAAUGAGCUACGGUGGCCUCAUCCCACACCAGCGGGAGGAGGCUCUGCUUCAGGAAGGAGUCUUGUUGUCUGGAAACAGAUGCUUCACAUUUGCUGACUGGGGAAAUGUCUGCAAGUCCUCCAGGAACUGUGUCACUUGCUAAGCAAGGCAGCGUGAACACGUCGCUAAAGGCUACGCCUCAUUAAAGGUGAAUUGAAAAGCUAUGUGCUGCAAUCUCCUUGUUAAGGAUGUAAUCAUUGCAGUGAUCAUUUCGCACGACUCGUCAAUAUGUUUAGCAUGAAAAGUAUGCGGAAACAUGUUUUGAUUGCACCUCAAUGGAAAAAUAACUGAAUUCAUCGAUAAAAAUCUCUUUAAUCUUGCAAUGCUCACCUAUUCUUUUCCAGUUCAUUGUGGGCUGACCUGCAAUGAUUACAAAUUACAAAUAUGUAAACCAUGAUGGGCAAAGAUAGAGAAAACUGAAAUAUAGGUAUGUAAAAUAAAAGCACUUCUAUGUUAAAUAGAAUGUAGAAAAUAAUACAGCAUAAUGUAUGACUUAAUACAUAACACACAACAUAACAGAGUUUUUUUUUUUUCAAGUUAUUUACCAUUACUGUUUUGAAAAUUGGCUGAUGAAAAACUAUAAAACAGUACACUGUUUAUUGAACCCACCUAUUGUGAAUAUUGUCCAAUUUCCUGUUCUUGUUGAAUUUACGAUGUUUCUGUGGGAGUGCCAGAUCAUUGGCAGGAUACGUCGAAGCAUAACCAUGCUCGCAUUCUGUGUAGAGGACAAAAAAAA